GCUCUUAACUACUAAAAUAAUUCUUAUCAUUGAAGACUUUAUCUCAUGACAUAAAAAUUAAGAUUCAACUCUAAUCAGUCACCAAAAGAAUGAAGCAGUGAUUUUAAUUUGAAUCAAUACACAGAAUUCAGACUUUUUUUUUCCAUAGGACUUUCUUGACCUGUCAAGUCAACCAAAGAAGGCAUGCUGGGUUUUGCUGUAUAAGAUAUAGCUUCAACCCAACGCAAUUAAGUUGAAAAAACAAGCACCCAAACUGAUUAUUUACUAAUCUUUACAAAAAAGUUCCAGCUGAUUGCCUACGUUUUUCACUGUCCACUGACUGAUUUUGUAUGGUUUGAGCCAAUGUAAGACUGAGCCUCAUAAAAGCGAGUUUGAGGAAGUCCUCAGCUGAUAAGCUCAGACAUGGUUUUGGCGCCUAGCACAGCAGCAGCAACCACAGGGAAGGACUACUGUCAUGACUGGGGUCUCUCUUCCAGGACCCCUCACUGCACCGUGAGCCAGGAGGACCCCAGCUCCUGGAUGGAAAGUAAAAGUCAGUGACUAAGAGAAUGGAAGGUCCUCAAGGCAAAGACUUAGUCACACUCAAUGUCAACGUUGAUGUGUCAGGAUCCUUUCAAUUCCAAAUACCAACAAAAUCAUGUGAGAAAAUAAAAGAGCAAUGAAUUUCUCAAGUAUCAGCUUGUAAUCACCAAUCCCAUCUGCUACUUACUAAAGACCUCAGAGUUGUAUCAAAGGUCAAAACAGUGAAAAGGACCUCAUGGAGCACCUAGUCCACAUUCAUUAAAGUGAACUAAACUGAAGUAGAUCGAAUUAAAUCAUAUUGAAUAUGUCAACAAGAAAUGGUGAAAAACACAUCCAGCUGUCUACCAGCAAAGAACUGCAGAUUGCAAUGUCAGCAUAGAAUGAUUAUUCAAGCCAGCAGCAAAUCAACAUU